rnacentral:rRNA from 1 species
GUACGGGAGGCAGCAGUGGGGAAUUUUGCGCAAUGGGCGAAAGCCUGACGCAGCAACGCCGCGUGAGUGAUGAAGGCUUUCGGGUCGUAAAGCUCUGUCAAGGGGAAAGAAGUGUAAUGCGGUUAAUACCCGUGUUACUUGACGGUACCCCUAAAGGAAGCACCGGCUAACUCCGUGCCAGCAGCCGCGGUAAUACGGAGGGUGCAAGCGUUGUUCGGAUUUAUUGGGCGUAAAGCGCGUGUAGGCGGUUUAUUAAGUCUGAUGUGAAAGCCCUGGGCUCAACCCAGGAAGUGCAUUGGAUACUGGUAGACUUGAAUACGGGAGAGGGCAGUGGAAUUCCUGGUGUAGGAGUGAAAUCCGUAGAUAUCAGGAGGAACACCGGUGGCGAAGGCGGCUGCCUGGACCGAUAUUGACGCUGAGACGCGAAAGCGUGGGUAGCAAACAGGAUUAGAUACCCUGGUAC